AUACGAAGGGUGCAAGCGUUACUCGGAAUUACUGGGCGUAAAGCGUGCGUAGGUGGUUGUUUAAGUCUGUCGUGAAAGCCCUGGGCUCAACCUGGGAAUGGCGAUGGAAACUGGGCGACUAGAGUGUGGCAGAGGGUAGUGGAAUUCCUGGUGUAGCAGUGAAAUGCGUAGAGAUCUGGAGGAACAUCCGUGGCGAAGGCGACUGCCUGGGCCAACACUGACACUGAGGCACGAAAGCGUGGGGAGCAAACAGGAUUAGAUACCCUGGUAGUCCACGCCCUAAACGAUGCGAACUGGAUGUUGGGUGCAAUUUGGCACGCAGUAUCGAAGCUAACGCGUUAAGUUCGCCGCCUGGGGAGUACGGUCGCAAGACUGAAACUCAAAUGAAUUGACGGGG
rnacentral:rRNA from 1 species